AUUGAACGCUGGCGGCAGGCUUAACACAUGCAAGUCGAGCGGGGAAGAGUAGCUUGCUACUUAACCUAGCGGCGGACGGGUGAGUAAUGCUUAGGAAUCUGCCUAUUAGUGGGGGACAACAUCUCGAAAGGGAUGCUAAUACCGCAUACGUCCUACGGGAGAAAGCAGGGGACCUUCGGGCCUUGCGCUAAUAGAUGAGCCUAAGUCGGACUAGCUAGUUGGUGGGGUAAAGGCCUACCAAGGCGACGAUCUGUAGCGGGUCUGAGAGGAUGACACGCCACACGGGGACUGAGACACGGCCCAGAUUCCUACGGGAGGCAGCAGUGGGGAAUAUUGGAAAAUGGGGGGAACGCUGAUCCAGCCAUGCCGCGUGUGUGAAGAAGGCCUUUUGGUUGUAAAGCACUAUAAGCGAGGAGGAGGCUACCGAGAUUAAUACUCUUGGAUAGUGGACGUUACUCGCAGAAUAAGCACCGGCUAACUCUGUGCCAGCAGCCGCAGUAA
rnacentral:rRNA from 1 species